UGAAGUAGCAAUGGACCUCGUGGAAUGUGCCUUGAUGUCCUUGGGAACUGGAACCCGUUUAGUUCUGUAAGCUUUAGAAAUAGCCUGAACAGUCCAGGAACGAAGGGUUGCGACAGAGGCAGCUUCACCUUUACGAGAACCCCAAGGUAUCACAAACAAUUGGGGAGACUUUCUCCAAUUAGCGGAGCGUGCAAUUUAUGUGGAAAGACACCUCCUUAGGUCUAGCGUAUGACAUCUUUCUUCUUCAGGAGACGAUGGCUCCUGAAAAUACCCUGGCAGGACAAUCUCUUGAUUCAGAUGGAAGGAUGUAACAACCUUAGGAAGGAACUCGGGUCUAGGCCGUAGCACAACUCUAUCAUCGAAGAAGGUAGUGAACGGUUCCUCAGAAGACAGCACUCUAAUAUCUGACAUUCUCCUAGCAAAUACCAAGGCCAGUAACAACAGGGUCUUUAGAGAAAGAACCUGCAUAGGGACCUCAUCAAUAGGUUCGAAGGGAUGUUCCGUCAAGGCCUGCAGAACCAGAGGCAAAUUCCAAGGAGCAGAGAAUACCUUGAUAGGAGGUCUAAUCCUAAUGACUGCUUUGAAGAAGCGAAUUACAAUAGGAUUCAAUGCCCAACGAAUACCAGAAAGAGCUGAAAGAGCCGAGCAGUGCACUUUAAGCGUGUUAAGUUGAAGGCCCCUCUCCAGGCCUGCUUGCAGGAAACCCAAAACCUGAG